rnacentral:rRNA from 1 species
AGUGGUYGGGGUGAAGUCGUAACAAGGUAGCYGUAGGUGAACCUGCAGAAGGAUCA